GAUGAACGCUGGCGGCGUGCCUAAUACAUGCAAGUCGAGCGAACAGACGAGGAGCUUGCUCCUCUGACGUUAGCGGCGGACGGGUGAGUAACACGUGGAUAACCUACCUAUAAGACUGGGAUAACUUCGGGAAACCGGAGCUAAUACCGGAUAAUAUAUUGAACCGCAUGGUUCAAUAGUGAAAGACGGUUUUGCUGUCACUUAUAGAUGGAUCCGCGCCGCAUUAGCUAGUUGGUAAGGUAACGGCUUACCAAGGCAACGAUGCGUAGCCGACCUGAGAGGGUGAUCGGCCACACUGGAACUGAGACACGGUCCAGACUCCUACGGGAGGCAGCAGUAGGGAACCGUCCGCAAUGGGCGAAAGCCUGACGGAGCAACGCCGAGUGAGUGAUGAAGGUCUUCGGAUCGUAAAACUCUGUUAUUAGGGAAGAACAACUGUGUAAGUAACUAUGCACGUCUUGACGGUAACUAAUCAGAAAGCAACGGCUAACUACGUG
rnacentral:rRNA from 1 species